CACAGAGAUUGCAACUGAAAGAGGGAGAGACAGAGACAGAGAGGCUGAGACUGACACAGACACUCAGAGAGAGGAGAGAAACAGAGAUUGGCAGGAGGUUCGGGAACUCCAGGAGCAGCUGGCCCGACAGCAGGUCCAUGUGGAGCUUGACAUGGCCAAGCCAGACCUCACCGCAGCCCUGAAAGAGAUCCGCACGCAGUAUGAGGCAAUGGCGUCCAGCAACAUGCAUGAGGCGGAGGAGUGGUACCGCUCCAAGUUUGCAGACCUGACAGACGCUGCUGCCCGCAACGCGGAGCUGCUCCGCCAGGCCAAGCACGAGGCCAACGACUACCGGCGCCAGUUGCAGUCCUUGACCUGCGACCUGGAGUCUCUGCGCGGCACGAACGAGUCCCUGGAGAGGCAGAUGCGCGAGCAGGAGGAGCGCCACGCGCGGGAGGCGGCCAGUUAUCAGGAGGCGCUGGCGCGGCUGGAGGAAGAGGGUCAGAGCCUCAAGGACGAGAUGGCCCGCCACUUACAGGAGUACCAGGACCUGCUCAACGUCAAGCUGGCCCUGGACAUCGAGAUCGCCACCUACAGGAAGCUGCUGGAGGGCGAGGAGAACCGGAUCAC
rnacentral:sRNA from 1 species